UAAACGACUCUCGGCAACGGAUAUCUCGGCUCACGCAUCGAUGAAGAACGUAGCAAAAUGCGAUACUUGGUGUGAAUUGCAGAAUCCCGUGAACCAUCGAGUUUUUGAACGCAAGUUGCGCCCAAAGCCAUCCGGUUGAGGGCACGUCUGCCUGGGCGUCACGC
rnacentral:rRNA from 8 species